AGAGCGAACGCUGGCGGCAGGCCUAAUACAUGCAAGUCGAGCGGGUGUAGCAAUACACCAGCGGCAGACGGGAGAGUAACACGUGGGAACGUGCCCUUCAGUUCGGAACAACCCAGGGAAACUUGGGCUAAUACCGGAUACGUCCGUAAGGAGAAAGAUUUAUCGCUGAAGGAUCGGCCCGCGUCUGAUUAGCUUGUUGGUGGGGUAAUGGCUCACCAAGGCGACGAUCAGUAGCUGGUCUGAGAGGAUGAUCAGCCUCACUGGGACUGAGACACGGCCCAGACUCCUACGGGAGGCAGCAGUAGGGAAUAUUGGACAAUGGGCGCAAGCCUGAUCCAGCCAUGCCGCGUGGGUGAUGAAGGCCCUAGGGUUGUAAAGCCCUUUCGGCGGGGAAGAUAAUGACGGUACCGCAGAAGAAGCCCGGCUAACUUCGCGCCAGCAGCCGC
rnacentral:rRNA from 1 species